rfam:Myotis brandtii contig323416, whole genome shotgun sequence.
AGGUCCAAAGAGAGAAGCAGGGUCUGAUCUGCAGCCUCUGUGGCAGCUGUUGAUCAGCCCUUGCCUCUCUUUCUCUCCG